GCGGCUGGUGGAGCGUGGCGGGUUCCGUGGCGUUGUGGCCGUCACCCGUGGCGGGCUGAUCCCGGCGGCGAUCGUGGCGCGGGAGCUGGA
rnacentral:tRNA from 1 species